GCACCCGCGUCCGGCCGUGCCUGGGCGGGCCGGGCCCCGGCGCCGUCCUUCUCCGCAAGGGUGCGGCCGCUGGUCGCCGCACUGCGCCGCGUUCCUGGGGCGGCUGAAGCUGGUGGCUCUGAGGGCGACGGGCCGGGGUCGAGGCGGUUCCUGUGGUGCUUCAGGCCUGGGGGUACCUCAGGGCCUCUGCCGCGCCUUCCCCGGGAGGCCGCGGCGGGCGCUUCGCAUUCCCCAUGGGCUGGCCGCGGAGAGGCUUUGAAGUGCAUCACUCCGCUGGAGCGGGCAUGGACACGCUGUUCCGAGCGCAGCCCUAGUCUUGUCAGGAAUUCAGUCUCCAUUGUUCGUAUCCGCAAUUGAACCCACCUUGAUGGGUGUACGUGGUCUAACGCACAGCGGGUUUGGUUCUGAGCACUGUUCUGAUGUACUGAGUCUGCCUCGGGAGGGACCCUUGAGAGGCUCUCGAGUCUCACCUGAGCAGGCAUCCUAGGGAAGGAUGUUCAGGGCAGAAGGGAACGCACUGCGCCGGUUCAGGGAAACAGUGUCCAAAUAUAUGCUUAAGGUCGUGUUCUGGUUAAAGCUUCUCCAGUUCCGGUGCUCGCUUGCAAAACAUUAGUUAAGGUUAUCAAUGGGCCGAGUGAUCCAGGCUUUUCAGGUGGGGUAAGGGUGGAGAAGGGUGGUUUGUUGGGUCCUUUUGAUGUAUGUCAUUUCUCCGGAGAGCUGAGUGACGUACAAUCUACUGUGAUUGUGACAUUUGUUGUCAAAUUCCCAGUGGCAGUCAUAGAUUUCACUUUCUUUGUCUUAAGUAUUGGUCGUCAAACUCGCCGUUUACCUUUGGGAAUGAAAACAGGAGAAAAUGCAUAAGAAUUCUGUAAACAGUACUGGUUUGGAAACAGUGUUAAAUUUUAGAUUAAGACGGUAUUUAGAGAGACAGUGCUUAAGCAAGUAAUUGCUUUUUGAUCUGAGUUAUUUUCAUCAGUUAAUUUUUUUUUUUCCUUUGUAAUUUGAACAGAUUUAGCAAAGAGUGUUUUGGUUGGAAUAUAUGGCAGUAUAUGAAGAGAUCAGCUGAUAACUUUUUGAUUUGAAAUAGUGGAGCUCUUCACCAUUCUUUCAUAUUAGGUGUGUGUUUGUACUUAAGUACUGGUGUGAUUUUCUAAAUGGAUUCUGCCAGUCAACAUACAGUAAAUGGUCUGUUUUGGUUAAUACUUCUUUGGAAAUCUUAUGCCAAGCUUUUUUCUUUAUUUUAUCCAUACACUACUCAAACUCCCAAAAAAAUAGUUGUUAUGCUGUGUGCAGGCAAUCCUUUGUUCCUUAUUACUUUUUAAUCUACAGUUUAUUUUUAUUGGUAGAGUUCAACUGUAUCAGUGUGUAUAUAUAUAUGAAUAUACAGACAAUAUUGUAUAUAUAGUAUAUGUAUUAGUUACUGUUGGUGGCUGAGGCCAGAGUGGUUUGAAGUGAAGUUACUUGGACUUGCUGAGUUUCCACUGUUACAAAGUACAGUUAUAUGAAUAGAACUGCUUAAAAAUGAAGUUUGAUCUUGGCUAGAUCUGCCAGCUAGACACAGUAAUAGAGGUGUGAGAGCUUAGUUAACAAGUCUCUAUCACCAGUCUGUUGACAGGAAAUUAGAAACAACUGUUAUUACUAGUAUUGAAAUAUAUCACCUCAUAAAACAUCUUUUAGAGAACUAUAAAAUUGCAACAGUUAGAAUGACAUAGUUAUGCUUAUCACAAUAUGGAAAGAUUAAAUAACAGGGUAUGUGGCUUUGUUAACUGCUUUUUCUAACAGCUGUGAUUUUGGAGAGUUUCACAAUUCAUAGUUGAAAAUUUUACAGUAAAUUGAAAAAGACUGGAAAUUAAUUUUGCACUUUUGCACUGCAUGUUGCGCUUUUGGUAAUCAGUUCUCUGUAUCUCUUCAUUUUUGCAUACAUCCUAUUCUGAAAAUUUUCCUUAAGAGUUAGGGAAGUUGAGAUUAAUGAAAGUUAAUUAUUUAUUUAAAUUAUCUUUUAGGUGGCUUGAGAACCAAUUAGUGAUUCUGUAUAUAAUCUACAGGUAUAUAUCACAGAUUGAGUGAAAUAACUGGAAUUUUUCUGUUCUUGUUGUUUUACAAAAAUACACCGGGAACUCAAGAAAUCGGGUCUUAAAAGUCUGAACAAAGCUGGAUCCAGAGCAUCUUCUCACAAACAAUCAAGUAAUGUGAUGAAUAAAACACAAAGAUGGUGAUCUGGUGACGGGCAAAAGAACGAGAUAGUGGAAAGCCAGGAGACCAUGCUUCCAAGAAAAUUGUUUGGGUUCUCUGGAAAAAAGCUAUUACAGGUUCAGAGAGGAAAGAAACAUCACUUUUAUAGCUACUCCAGCCUCUUCCAGGAACCUGUCCAGGCAAUGUCAGCUUAAUGAUCAAAACCUUAACAUAGAGGUCAAAAGUACUAAAUCUGGAUGUCCAAUUUAGUAUCUAUCACAGAGAGUAUGAUUUCUAAGGACUUGUAACACAGGAAGGGACUUAUAUUCAGUAUACAUUCCCAUUUAUUUCAGUGAGUACUUGGCUAUACUCGUCAGAUCCAAGGUGUCAAGGUGGGUGCUCAGGAAAUAAGGAACGAGCAAUUACACAGUAGUUAGGAGCAAGCAUUCACUGCCAAAAUCAUGGUGCCCUUGUGCAUUUAUAUUAAUUACCUCAUUUGUUACAAACACAACUGUUUAAUCUGUAUCAUCCUCACUCUGUAGCACAUCAGAGGUGUCUGUCACUGAUUUUUGGAGUUGAGCAUAUAAUAGCACAUUGACAGGAUUUACUCAUGCUUGCCCUUUAUGUGGAGUGAGCAUGGUGCUGGAGUAUAUCUUUCAGGAGUGGUCAGUUUGAACUUCCUAUUCUAGCAUUUCUGUUGGGCCUAUGGAAAUUUUGUCUACCUGAUGAAGCCGUCAGUAUCAGAACUGAUUUACAUAUAUAUGUGUUUGGAAGUUCUCUUUAUUAGGCAGCAUCAGGCCUUGGCUGAGGCUAUAGCAAGUCUGGGACAAACAAAGUUGUGUAGGGCUCAUUACUACUUGUUAAAUGAUGCAUAGAAGUUGGGUUUUUCUGUACAGAGGAAGCUACAGGCCAUGUCGGUUGCUUUUGGUGGUUCAGGGUUUUUUGUGGAUGUCAUGUGUUGAGUCUUACUUCUGACUUAUUUUUCACUUUACUUUUCCUUCCCAGAUUUUGAUGUCACAUUCUUGUAGUCCCUCCCCAUAUAAACGCCGAGGCAAGGUUUUAAUUCUGAAUGAGCCGUCUGUUUUUUGAUUUCUUCUGUGACAAAUGACUAGGGAUUCUAACAGUUGAACUUCCUCCAUUGCAAACCAUCUUAAUCAGCUGCAGACCAGGUUUGUCCUCUAGAAUGAAUGAGGAAGAGGUAGUAAAGUAAUUAAGACUGGAUUUGGGUCUCAUUACUAAUUGAUUUUUAACUUAAUUAUACUAAGGCUGAAGUAUUAACUCAUUGUAAACAUUGGAGAUUGCUUCUUAGAGAUAUGUGUUUGUGAGUGAGCUAACUAGGAAAAGAACUCUCAGAGCUUAUACCUAAUCUCAUGUUACAUUUGCAAGUUUUUAAACUGACACCGGAGGAGUUGAGAAUAGCGAAGUCACUCUAAGCGUUUCAACAAAUAAAUAAACUUCAUGUAUAAUUAAAUGUUAUGAAGGCAGUGAGCAACCUGUCUUUGCUUGGAUGAAUGCUGUGUAGAGAAUCCUUUCCAGUGCAGAGGAAAGGAUCAGGAAGUAGGCAAGGGAGACAGCGGCAAUGUAUUUGCAUAAUAUUGUUUGCAUGGGUUAUGCUAUCUUAAGAAGUUACUUCAUUUAUCACAAACUUGGGUAUCUUCUGAAACCCAAACCUGAUCAGGAUUGUAUUUCUCAAAAACCACAGAUUGUAUUUCUCAAAAAUAAUUGUGUAUCAAUACAGGUAUGGAGCACACUUUGUUUUCUCUUGGUUAUGGCUGCAUUUGACAAAAUUGUUCAUUUCAAAUAGGUCCUUUUUUUUGUGUUAACUUUCUAUAAAUUCUGUCUUAUAUCUGCUACUGAGAUUUCCUCAGUGUGUCUUGCGAAAAAAGAGGUCAAAAUCCAAUGUAGAUUGUUUAGCCACACUGUUUUGUAAUUCUUUGCUGUGCAAGUAUGAUAUUUUUAGAACUUUUUGCAUAGCAAUUACUGUUUUGUUUUUUGAUUCCUAACCAUUACCACUGACGUUGUCUUUGCCCAUAACUUGGCUCAGUUAGUUAUGCUGAAUGAAUUGACAGGCACUCCAAUUCUAAACAUGCAGCUGCUUUUGUAAGCUAACCUAAUGAUGGCUUAAAACUGGAGAUGCUGAAGGGGCACUCCCAAAUCCUGGAUUUACUUUACUGCUGCCCUCUUGUGCUGGUAAUCAUUUUCAUCUCAUCAUGCAGGGAGGCACUCCUGGGAGCUAAAGAGAAAACUGGUGAUUUGUUUAUGAAGGGGUUGUUCUGAUGGUAGUUAUCCUGUGGCAGGAAUAGCUUCCCACAAAGACCUUUGCAGGGGGAGUUACUAUGCAGAACAUAAUAAAGGUGCCAAACUGUAAACACUAGGAUUUGAAUAAUUGAUACUGAAGAGACAAUGAUGGAAGAGAAGCAGAUUAUUCUCUUGAUUAUGGCUCUGUCUACUCUUUUGGAAACAGCAAUAUCAUUAUACAUGAGUGCCAAUAAUUCUGUUCCAAGGUUUUGUUCUUGAUAAAAUAGUCUUGAAACUAGUAGAUGGUAGUUUUGCUGUUUGGCAGACCUACAGGUCAUUACACAGGCAAGCUCUGUGCUUGUGUUGCAGCAUGAUGUAAUUUGUGUGUGGUUUUUUGUUUUGUAUUAUUGAAGCAUAGCUUACAUAUGUUUUCAUGUAUAGCCUAAUCAUGAAGUUUGUUUUUGCAUCUUUGCAGUGUCCAGAGGAGUGAGGUCAUUCCCCACCUUCCACCAUGCAACAGUUAUGAGCACAUAUUGUAGAGAGCAUCUUAAAAUUGCAAAAUCCUAAAGGUACAUGAUGUUAAAGGAUUCAGAAUAGUGGAUAAGUAAAGCAGGCAGUAUUUGCUGUCAAUUGUAUAUCUCAGCAAAUUACUUGGUGUAUCUCUCUGUCAGCAAGUGACAGGAUACAUACCUCUUCUUGCAGUAGGUGACUCCAAGCAGUAGCUCCAACAAAUGCUUAAAUGGAAAUGGGAUAAGGGCCUUUGCAUAACAGCUUUACUACUUGAAGACCACUCUGUCAAAUGAUCUUCUAGCUUAUCUAUAGAUAACAUUCCAUAGGACUGCUCAGCAGAUGCAGCUUACAAAGGUAUUUCUUUGCAAGCACCCUGAUCAAGUUUGACUUCUGGUGGAGCUCCGAUGAUAAAACGUCUCUGGACCUUCAUCAGUACCAUAAAAGGCACUGACACAGCUCCCAGUCUGUUUUUAAACUUGUGUUUUGGUGAAGACUGUUAAUUUGGAUCGUUUGUUCUGAAGGGUCAGACUAAAGGGUCUUAACAAUUCAUAAACAAAGAACCACUUUGGCUGUGAGAAUGAGAAAGAUGAUAUGUGUAGGAAGUAAGAGUUACUGAGGCUGUAAGAAACAAAACAUCCUUGAUUCCAUAACAGUUUGUGAACAUACAUUGUCAUCAUACAGCUAAAACAUCCAGAUCAGAGGAGUGAGAAGGAAAGUCCAGACAAAUCUUCCUAACUACAGAUCAAGGAAUAUAUUCAGUAAACAAGUAGGAGUAAAAUGGAUACUUCUUUCAUAUAUUUGAAGCUAAAAAUUUGAUCUUCCUUCUGGUCAUCCAGGACUCAGUCUAGUAUGAUGUACCAGUCUUUCUUACAAGAUAUCAGUAAUAACUAGAAGAUGGAUCAAUGAUCAUGUGUAUUUUCCUGUAAAUACAAAAAUUUGCAGAUCACCCAGAAGAUGCAGAGUGAUCCUGCACCACCACCCAACAGACUGAAAAUAAACAGCUGAAAUUCUGUGAGCACACUGCUAUAAUAUGUCUAUUGAUAAGAUUACAACAUCUUUUCCACAGUGAAUGCCGUUCUGGCUUCCAUGAGGUUUGGGAACAACCUUUCUUUUGUGAACUUGCAAAGUCAUGCCUGAAAGUAUUCUACCAGUGCCACAUACCAUCACUGAUGAAGUAAGUGAGAUCUAAAAGCAUUCCCAUGUAGGAUGAGAGGACCAUGGUCAUGUUGUGUCAUAGAUGAGUGUGAAGGUGUAAAUUGUAUAAUGGAUAAGCCAAACUUGAAAACUUACUGGUGAUACAUUACCUUAGGGCAUCAUACGGAAAUAUCACAUUCAAGGUUAGGCAGAUUUGUCAUCAUGAUAGGAAGAAGACCCACACGGGUAUGUUAUGGCAGUCCAAAACCUUUCUCGAAAUGCAGAUUGUUGCAGGUUCUAAGGAGCGAGCAUGAGUUCUGAUUCUUUCUGGUCUUUUCAGCAGAUAGCUGUCUGGGCCAGGAGAGGGAUACAAAGUUGCAUCCAAAGUAGGUCAUUACCUCUGCAAGUAUUUAUUGCUGCAGUGACUCUUGUGUUGACUUGUAUUAAUCUGUGAAACAAAGGUGAUACACUUUAGAAACAUAGAAAUGUGUCUCAUGAAGUUUGAUUCUACAAGAAAACAGAGGAGGAUGCUGGGGCAGAUAAAUAGCAAUUGUGUUUCUUUAUGUGGUUUUUCUUGCAGUGAUUCUGUUGAGAAUUUGACAACUAGUGGAGGUGAAAGCUGGUAGGCAGAAGAUAGACCUUCUGUGAAGUUUUCCAUGCAGAGUGAGUCAGCAUUGGCAACUUGUUUAACAGUUUGAUCCUGCCAGGUAGGGGUGUGAGGAUUCUGAAGAACUGGGACUAAAGCCCCUUGCACAUGUUGAACUGGUGUGAAAAACAGUGGUGAGUGGUCUGUUGCCAUCAAGCUAGAGAUCAGAGGGCUUAUUUUUAGCUUGAAAUUGAACCAUAUGCUAGUAGUAUUGUAUUCUUUUGAGUAACCACAUCUCACUUGUGAGGUGGAAAAGAUGAAGGUAGCAGAUCUUUUAGGUUGUAGGCACAUGUGCUGGGGACUGGACAGAUGUCCCAGACAAUACUACAUACUGCUCUGUUUUGAAAUACAUAGGCUAAUAUACUAAUAGUUAAAAUGAAGAGAUUGAGCAUCCUGCUUUGGUAGCCUGUCAUAAGGUCAAUGAAAUUAUUUUGAAGUCUAAGAUUCCUAAUAGAGAGCUUUUUGUUGAGUGUGCCCUAAUCUUUGUGCUGUUACUCUGAAAUACCAUAUGAAGGAAAAACAUGAGGUCUGUGUCCUAGCCUGGACACUCCAGAACAAAAACUCAACAUACCACCUUCUUAAUGAGAGUAAUUGGAAGAAUCUAGAAGAAUGAGUUUAAAUUACAGAAAAGUGGUCAAAUGGUGGAAAUACCAAUGAGGAAUACCCUGUUAUCAUAGGGAUGCCUAAGGAUGAUGGAAUGCUUAGUCCACCUGUCAGAAAAAAGAAACUGGAAAAAAGCCAGACUUGCUGUGUGUCAGACACAUUAGAAUGUGGACACCAUCAAAGUUUCUGUGGCAAACUUGUCUCCACUUAAAAAAGUAUUUGUACAGCUGCAAAGCAAAUACACGUGAAUUAUUGCUUAAAAGAUAAACUGGCAUAUUUUCAUAUCAUAAUCUUAAUAGGUUUUUGACAACAUUAUUUCUAUUCAUUUUUAUACUCUGCACACUAAUGUACAUGAUAAGGUAUGGUAUGAUAUCCCUCUUUAAUAUGUUUCUAUCACAGGUUGAAUUCCAGUGCAACAACACUAACUUAUAUCAGCAUGUUGUAAGACUUCUGAGACUGCUGACAGGAUCACUAAAACAAUUUAACUGGAGAGUAGUUCCUCACAGCCAAGUACACAAAUGACCAGAUGGCCUCCAUAGUUUGUACAAACUUUCUUGUAUUGGAAGCUGAAGGUACUUUAUGUGUCUGUGCCUAAGGAUUUAUAUCUACACUGAGCAAACUGCACAAGUGUUAGCUGCUUUAAUAGCUUGUGUUUUGUUCAGAGAUCAGUGUGCUAAAUGGUCCCUGAGGAGGAUAAAAAGAAUUUGGAAAGUACUUUUCAUAUUCGACAAGAUUUCCAGCCUAGUUGCUUAAACUCUCUGGACUUCAAUUAACUUUCUACAAGUAAUAACAUAUGUAUCUAUUUCUGAUUCCCUAGUCAUAUAUUAAUUGUAGGACCUACUGGUUUUUGAGGCAAGGAAACCUCUUACUACUAGAGAAAACAAAAAUGAAUCGGUAAGUUGUUUUUCAGCAAUUUAGCUGAGUGGAUGCUAAAUACUGAUGGGUAAAAAGAAUCACACCUACUCUCAAUCACUUGUUUUUUACUAUAUGCUUGCUUUGGAUGAUCAACACAGGCAAGUGUUUGUGUUAGGCAGGGCCAGCUAAACCUUGUUUUCUAAGGAUGUGGGUGCAGCUGCCUUGCAGAAAUGUAUUGCAGUAAAACCCUCCAGUUCUCAGAUAUGGCUGUAAUGGCUGUCUAAAAAUAAUACCUAACAAAGGGUGUCCUUUGCAGGGGAAGCCAGAAAUAACCUUCUUUUUCUCUGUCAAAAUGUAAGGCUAAUAUCAGUACAUCUACAAGCAGCAGUUUGACCCAGAGACCACGAAGGAGCUUACUUUCAGCAUAAGGAAUCUUGAGCUUGGACUUCACCCCCAAAGAGAUAAUAAAUACCACUCGCUUCAA